UGUCUAGUAUAAGCAAUCUAUACGGUGAAACUGCGAAUGGCUCAUUAAAUCAGUUAUCGUUUAUUUGAUAGUACCUUACUACUUGGAUAACCGUGGUAAUUCUAGAGCUAAUACAUGCUAAAAACCUCGACUUCGGAAGGGGUGUAUUUAUUAGAUAAAAAACCAAUGCCCUUCGGGGCUCUCUGGUGAUUCAUAAUAACUUAACGAAUCGCAUGGCCUUGUGCCGGCGAUGGUUCAUUCAAAUUUCUGCCCUAUCAACUUUCGAUUGUAUGGUCUUGGCUUACAAUGGUUUCAACGGGUAACGGGGAAUUAGGGUUCUAUUCCGGAGAGGGAGCCUGAGAAACGGCUACCACAUCCAAGGAAGGCAGCAGGCGCGCAAAUUACCCAAUCCCGACACGGGGAGGUAGUGACAAUAAAUACUGAUACAGGGCUCUUUUGGGUCUUGUAAUUGGAAUGAGUACAAUUUAAAUCCCUUAACGAGGAACAAUUGGAGGGCAAGUCUGGUGCCAGCAGCCGCGGUAAUUCCAGCUCCAAUAGCGUAUAUUAAAGUUGUUGCAGUUAAAAAGCUCGUAGUUGAACCUUGGGCCUGGCUGGCCGGUCCGCCUCACCGCGUGCACUGGUCCGGCCGGGCCUUUCCUUCUGGGGAGCCGCAUGCCCUUCACUGGGUGUGUCGGGGAACCAGGACUUUUACUUUGAAAAAAUUAGAGUGUUCAAAGCAGGCCUAUGCUCGAAUACAUUAGCAUGGAAUAAUAGAAUAGGACGUGUGGUUCUAUUUUGUUGGUUUCUAGGACCGCCGUAAUGAUUAAUAGGGAUAGUCGGGGGCAUCAGUAUUCAAUUGUCAGAGGUGAAAUUCUUGGAUUUAUUGAAGACUAACUACUGCGAAAGCAUUUGCCAAGGAUGUUUUCAUUAAUCAGUGAACGAAAGUUAGGGGAUCGAAGACGAUCAGAUACCGUCGUAGUCUUAACCAUAAACUAUGCCGACUAGGGAUCGGG
rnacentral:rRNA from 1 species